rnacentral:ncRNA from 1 species
AAUGAUCGCUAGGGGUGUCCUUAAAGGGACUGAGAACGGCAUAAGCCGUACCCUUCGAACCUGAUAUGGUUAGCACCAUCGUAGGGAAGCGAGUGUUGUCCGCU